GUUAAGACGGCGGCCAAAGUCCUUUGUCCUUUUUAAUAUCCAUUUUUUGUGCGCAAGUUUGUAACUGCAUUGUAGUAAAUGUUACCAAUUGCCACUAAAUUGGCCAGAUUGAGUAUUGGCUUUAAACUUUUUGCCAGAAAGUAACUUCCAGCCGGCGACCAAGAAGUCUUUAGAGCAAUUUUAAUGAGGUCCUCCUUGGGCACAACACAGUCAGCGACUUUUUACACAUCGAUUAUUGAUCCGUGCCAGUUUGGCGCGCAGUCCUUUUGCAACUUCUUACGUCAUUUGGGAAAUACUCGGCAACUGGUUCGCACUGGUUGGCUGGGGGCCACGUUUUCCCCAUAUACCCCCACGCCCCCAUUAUUGCCCCCACCAUCGCCAGGAUGUGUCAUCAUUAGGGCUCGUCGUCGUGCAUUCCCCUCAUUUGCCCAUUUACCCAUUUUCCCGCCAAACGGCCAUUCCCACUCCCUGCGCGCUUUUGGCCAGGCCAAUACACAAAUCGAUCGCUGUGGUUUCUUUCAUUAAGUAUAUUUCGCGCGUUGCCUCUCGCCCGGCGUUAUUAUUGUAAUAAAAAUUUACGUAAAUCGUGCCUCGAACAUUGCCCCAAAGCCCCCAGCCAUUCUCACUCGACACAUUUGCUCACGCACUGUCGUGUGCGGCUCGUCCUUCGGCAAAAAGUUUCCUUUGUUUGCCAAUUUUUAUGAGCAGGCCACGCUUCCGCCAAAUGCCCACCGACCCAACGACCCACCGUCCCACCAACCUACUCUAACCACCCAUCCAGGUGGUGCGGUCAAGUUCGUAGCUAAACUUAGCCACCUCGUUCUUCUUCGUUCGGUUCUUCGUUCUUCUGGCCAACGACACCUGCAGACUAAUUAAUGGCAAAUUCCAGGCACCUCACUUCGAUGUUCAUAUAUGACUGGCGCACACCUUAUUCAGCGUAUGCGUGUACACUGCGAGAAAAUCAUGGCUAUCCAGAAGCUAUCUGGCUUAUAAAGAUCUUUAACUAAAUAAAAGAAGUUGUAGUUCUUGAAGACUUAAAUGACUAUGCAUAAGAUAUAUCCUGUUUAGCUACCACAUGCGUUAUAAUUCUCAAGUGCUAAUUUGGCAAGCUGUGUAUAAAGCACAAUCCUUUAAUGUUAAAAGUAAUUUGAAAUGUUUUUAAACAUAAUUACCCGCUUAAGUAGACCAUUUUUUUGUUUUAACAAUAUAAUUUCGGUGAAAUGCCUUCGAAAGGCACUCAAUUUUCUGCGGGUGCACGCAUGGAUGCCUAUGGUUGCCUAUUUGAGCCGAUUAUGAGCCUGUAUGAAGAGAUGUUGGCAACGAUUGUGUCCCGCUAAUGGCACAAAGCAUAACCCAUUGCCGCAACGACAGGCCGUAAGUAGGGCAUCCAAAGUGAUUCGAUUAGGCGCAGCUAUCAAUUGAAUGUCUCCGGCAAUUUGCAUCCGAUGGGGCGUGGUAAAAACGUUAUCGAAUUAUCGAGUCGAUAGUUGUGUUCGAAUGGAGAGUCAAAGUGAUGAAAACUGGAGUGACACUUCACGUUACGUUAAGCACUUACAAUUAUGGCAAAUGCUUAUGAGCCAGGGGGGCGGGGUGAAUUUUCGUGUCCUUUGUAAAAGGAGUGAGUGUGUUUGAGUGUGUGUGUGCCAUGCACACACAAACACACAUCCUUGUAUUUGAGUUUCGUCUUUUGGGUGUACUCGAAAGCAUUUGGAAACUUUUAAUGACAUUCUCGCUUAUUAUUAUUUACUAGGGCUUCGCAGCCAAGUGCUUGGCUGUCUUAAUCAAUGGCAGACAAUUGUACUCGCAGUGGCUGUAAUUAACAGAUGACAAAGGAAGCUCGGCCCCAGCUGGAUUAUCCUUGAAACUACCACACCCCUGGCAAUGCGUAUGUAUAUGUAUGUUGACCAGAAGGGAAAACUCGAUGACACUUGCGAAUAUUAUUUAUUCAGGCAAAUUGCUGCUUACGAGCGUUUCAUUCGCCAGCAUUUUACAUUCGAUUUCCAUUAUGCCAUUUGUUGCUCGAAAGGCUUUGUCAGCCUGAUUUGGUUUCCGAUUUCCGGUCGGGAACGAGGACCCAAAACUGUUAAUACACACACACACACACACACUCAUAACAAUGCCUCUUUUGUUGGCCAUUUUGGGCCUACAAGGGCAAGGACGUCCCCUCAAGUGCCGGCAAUUAUUUACAACAAUCCGAGAAUGGCUCUUCGAAAGGAUCAAAGGAGGAGGCGACGCCCCGUACGCCCAGGACACUGAAGAUAUGCCAUCGAUAUACACUCGGAAGAAAAUUAGUUAGCAAAACCCAUUUCUCUCAGUGGUUAAUAAAAUAUUGGAAAUCUGGUUCCCUCUUACAUCAUGCAUUUAAAAAAUCUCAAAGAAAAACAUUACAUUAUGUAUGAGGCAUAUAUCUUCAAAUGUUUGGCUAAUUUGAGAAAUCGACCAAGGCAUGAAACUCCUUGGUAUAUUUGAGUGCCAUUUUUUUUGAACAGUGUAUUGUGCGUGUCUGCCUUGGCAGCUGGGAAAUAGUUUAACAUUCUGUGGAUUUUCUCCGUAUUUUCAGAAUCGUUUGGCCAGCAUCUCAGCCGUAUACGGCUUGUUGGCGACGUUUCAUUAAGCGAGCGGAAAAUGACGCAUGCUCCGGCUCAUUCGGGCACGCUCCGCUUCACAGGACAUUCGUGGUUAUCCUUUAUUGUCUGAGUGGCAGCGUGGCAAUCUGGCGAUACGAUGGCAAUGUGGCAAUGGGCAAUGGGUCCUCGGAGAUGCGCCACUCAAGCCCAGUUUCCGUUUCAAGGCAAACAUUCUCACCCCAACCAGGCAGAACAAAGCGACGGAAAAGCGCUUGAAGUCCAUUUGCUAAAUAAAUUUGAUAAACAAGGAGCGCCCGCGGCACAAACAGAACUACACUGGGAUGAAAGGGAGCCAUAUUCAAUUCGAAAAUUCUUUAAAAAAUACUAGGUCACACGAACCAGAUCUUUCAUCCAUAAUUUUACAAUUUGAAGCAUUAUCGAUAGUUGUCAAUUGCCCAAACAGGCCACGUUUUUUGUGAUUCCAAAUAAUGACACAUUUUCUCCGAGCAACCUGAAAAGCGAAAAGUGGCUGCCUUGUAUCUCCACUGACCCCAAUUGGGUACAAAGUGGGUGUCGCAGCUCCUGGGGCGAUGGAACGCGGAGCUUUAACAUUCAAUCUGCUGAAAACACGAGACCAGCAAAAAAAGAAAAUAAAAAACAGGAACACGCUCGUUGGCGGGGUUAAAGAUAAUGCCAGCUCCAAACCCCUCGGACAUUAUCGGGUUUCUGGUUUUUGAGAACGCUAAUUGAGGGGUGAACGUAAUUAAUACUCGUACGCCAUUUCGCCAUUUCGAAAAUGAAAUAUCGAACGACGUCAUCGCGGAUUUGAAAACGGACGGACCAAGGAGGGUGCUCCAUGUGUCUGCCAUGACAGCCCUAAUUCCCUCCUUAACUUUCGCUUUUUAAGUUGCCAAGUUGUUCGAGAAACUUUCUUCGAAAGCACGUAUUUUACUUUUAAGCUCUCAAAAUUUGCUUGUUUGUCAUGGACAGACCAGCCGGUUCUUGUGAAAAUCCACAAUUCGACGCCAGAUAUGCAGCUCCGGCAGACGACACCGCACAAUCAGUGACCAUUGUCCGGCAUUCGACUGGCCGCACCCCUCUCACCUGGCGGCCGGCGAGUCCUCGGAAGGACGAGUGUGCGAGCCUGCAUCGCCAGCCGCCGCGCCCAGGACACAAAUCAAAUUAAGGACGGACAUAGCGGACCGCACCAAAAAAAAAAAAAAACAGCGCAUACUGCGAGAAAUUAGGAUCACUGGUCAUUUCAAUUUAUUACUAAUA
rnacentral:sRNA from 1 species